AGAGUUUGAUCCUGGCUCAGGAUGAACGCUAGCUACAGGCUUAACACAUGCAAGUCGAGGGGCAGCAUGGUCUUAGCUUGCUAAGGCCGAUGGCGACCGGCGCACGGGUGAGUAACGCGUAUCCAAACUGCCUUACGCUCUUGGACAGCCUUCUGAAAGGGAGAUUAAUACAAGAUGUUAUCAUGAGUAAGCAUUUUCGCAUGAUUAAAGGUUUACCGGUGUAAGAUGGGGAUGCGUUCCAUUAGAUAGUAGGCGGGGUAACGGCCACCUAGUCUUCGAUGGAUAGGGGUUCUGAGAGGAACGGUCCCCCACAUUGGAACUGAGACACGGUCCAAACUCCUACGGGAGGCA
rnacentral:rRNA from 1 species